rnacentral:rRNA from 1 species
GACGAACGCUGGCGGCGUGCUUAACACGUGCAAGUCGAACGUGAUUUUUGUGGAAAUUCUUUCGGGAAUGGAAAUGAAAUGAAAGUGGCGAACGGGUGAGUAACACGUGAGCAACCUACCUUACACAGGGGGAUAGCCGUUGGAAACGACGAUUAAUACCGCAUGAGACCACAGAAUCGCAUGAUAUAGGGGUCAAAGAUUUAUCGGUGUAAGAAGGGCUCGCGUCUGAUUAGCUAGUUGGAAGGGUAAAGGCCUACCAAGGCGACGAUCAGUAGCCGGUCUGAGAGGAUGAACGGCCACAUUGGAACUGAGACACGGUCCAAACUCCUACGGGAGGCAGCAGUGGGGAAUAUUGCACAAUGGGGGGAACCCUGAUGCAGCGACGCCGCGUGAGCGAAGAAGGUUUUCGAAUCGUAAAGCUCUGUCCUAUGAGAAGAUAAUGACGGUAACAGAGGAGGAAGCCCCGGCUAAAUACGUG